AUUGAACGCUGGCGGCAGGCCUAACACAUGCAAGUCGAGCGAGCGGCGGACGGGGGAGGAAUGUAUGGGGGAAGCCCGAUAGAGGGGGGUAACUACUGGGAACGGUGGCUAAUACCGCAUACUGUCGGACACCCCAUAUGGGAUUGGCUCGUAGGUCAGGUAAUGGCUGACCUAGGCGACGAUCCCUAGCUGGUCUGAGAGGAUGAUCAGCCACACUGGGACUGAGACACGGCCCAGACUCCUACGGAGGCAGCAGUGGGGAAUAUUGCACAAUGGGCGCAAGCCUGAUGCAGCCAUGCCGCGUGUAUGAAGAAGGCCCUAGGGUUGUAAAGUACGUUCAGUCGGGAGGCGUUACCGACAGAAGAAGCACCGGCUAACUCCGUGCCAGCAGCCGCGGUAAUAC
rnacentral:rRNA from 1 species